GGUGAUGGACAGGGAGGCCUGGCAUGCUGUGAUUCAUGGGGUCGCAAAGAGUCAGACACGACUGAGCGACUGAACUGAAACCAAAGUUAAACACGUCCCAACUCAGCUUCCUGGAUUCCCCAGAUUCCCACAGCCACUCUAGAGCUACGUGCUUAGAGAGGAAGUGUAUCUGAGUGGAAGACAGAUAGAAGCUAACUGACAUGACAGUAUCUUCCUUUUUUGACUGUACAGCUUGUGGGAUCUUAGUUCCCUAAACAAGGAUUGAACCCUUGCUGCCUAAAAUGGAAGUGAUGAGUCCUAAUCUCUGAACCACCAAGGAAUUACUUAAGAUGUUCUGCAGUCUGAAGAUCGGGUUGUCAGGACUACAUUGUUAGGACCCUACCCGGAGCCUUGAGAGGGGUCAUAAACAAGCUGCAUUAGCUUUGUGGUUUAUCUGCCUCUGUACCUUUAUUCUGCCAAAAUCUGUAUAUGUGGUUCCUUCUUGUUCACAGAGUUGAUUUGAUCUACUAGAGUAUGUGAAUUUUUUGUGAAAACUCUGGGGAUAAGGAAGAGCUCAUUUGGAAAAUUAGGUAAAGCUGAGUAAAGCAAAAGAGUAACCCAGGGAGUUGGGAAUGUCUUUUAGACUGUCUUGGAGUUUGAAUUGUUUUGUUUUGUCUUUUGGGAGGCCUCACUUUUUCAAUAAAAGAAACCAGUGUUGUCUA